rnacentral:rRNA from 1 species
UACAGGGGGUGCAAACGUUGCUCGGAAUCAUUGGGCGUAAAGCGCACGUAGGCGGUUUGUUAUGUCGGAUGUGAAAGCCCUUGGCUCAACUGAGGAAGUGCAUCCGAAACUGGCAAGCUAGAGUACUAAAGAGGGUCGCGGAAUUCCCGGUGUAGAGGUGAAAUUCGUAGAUAUCGGGAGGAACACCGGUGGCGAAGGCGGUCUUCUGGACGGUGACUGACGCUGAGGCGCGAAAGCGUGGGGAGCAAACGGG